rnacentral:rRNA from 1 species
UGGGGGAUAUUGCACAAUGGGCGAAAGCCUGAUGCAGCGACGCCGCGUGGGGGAUGAAGGCCUUCGGGUUGUAAACUUCUUUUGCUCUGAACAAGGCAUGCCUUUGGGGUGUGUUGAGUGUAGGGGUUGAUUAGCGCCGGCUAACUACGUGCCAGCAGCCGCGGUAAUACGUAGGGCGCGAGCGUUGUCCGGAAUUAUUGGGCGUAAAGGGCUUGUAGGUGGCUGGUUGCGUCUGUCGUGAAAGCUCAUGGCUUAACUGUGGGUUUGCGGUGGGUACGGGCUGGCUUGAGUGCAGUAGGGGAGGCUGGAAUUCCUGGUGUAGCGGUGGAAUGCGCAGAUAUCAGGAGGAAUACCGGUGCGAAGGCGGGUCUCUGGGCUGUUACUGACGCUGAGGAGCGAAAGCGUGGGGAGCGAACAGG